rnacentral:rRNA from 1 species
AGAGUUUGAUCCUGGCUCAGAUUGAACGCUGGCGGCAGGCUUAACACAUGCAAGUCGAGCGGUAGCAUUUCCAGCUUGCUGGAAGAUGACGAGCGGCGGACGGGUGAGUAACGCGUAGGAAUCUGCCUUGGAGUGGGGGAUAGCCCGGGGAAACUCGGAUUAAUACCGCAUACGGUCUACGGACGUAAGUGGGGGCUCUUCGGACCUCACGCUCUAAGAUGAGCCUGCGUAGGAUUAGCUAGUUGGUGAGGUAAAGGCUCACCAAGGCGACGAUCCUUAGCUGUUCUGAGAGGAUGAUCAGCCACACUGGGACUGAGACACGGCCCAGACUCCUACGGGAGGCAGCAGUGGGGAAUAUUGGACAAUGGGGGCAACCCUGAUCCAGCCAUGCCGCGUGUGUGAAGAAGGCCUUCGGGUUGUAAAGCACUUUCAGUGGGGAGGAAGGCGUGAGUAUUAAUAAUGCUCAUGAUUGACGUUACCCACAGAAGAAGCACCGGCUAACUCCGUGCCAGCAGCCGCGGUAAUACGGAGGGUGCGAGCGUUAAUCGGAAUUACUGGGCGUAAAGCGCGCGUAGGCGGCGAGUUAAGUCGGAUGUGAAAUCCCUGGGCUCAACCUGGGAACUGCAUACGAUACUGACUUGCUAGAGUCUUGCAGAGGGGUGUGGAAUUUCCGGUGUAGCGGUGAAAUGCGUAGAGAUCGGAAGGAACAUCAGUGGCGAAGGCGACACCCUGGGCAAAGACUGACGCUGAGGUGCGAAAGCGUGGGUAGCAAACAGGAUUAGAUACCCUGGUAGUCCACGCGGUAAACGAUGUCUAUUAGCCGUCCGUUUCGUUUUAGAGAUGGGUGGCGCAGCUAACGCGAUAAAUAGACCGCCUGGGGAGUACGGUCGCAAGAUUAAAACUCAAAUGAAUUGACGGGGGCCCGCACAAGCGGUGGAGCAUGUGGUUUAAUUCGAAGCAAAGCGAAGAACCUUACCUACUCUUGACAUCCAGAGAACUUUCCAGAGAUGGAUUGGUGCCUUCGGGAACUCUGAGACAGGUGCUGCAUGGCUGUCGUCAGCUCGUGUUGUGAAAUGUUGGGUUAAGUCCCGUAACGAGCGCAACCCUUAUCCUUAGUUGCCAGCGGUUCGGCCGGGGACUCUAAGGAAACUGCCGGUGACAAACCGGAGGAAGGUGGGGACGACGUCAAGUCAUCAUGGCCCUUACGAGUAGGGCUACACACGUGCUACAAUGGCCGGUACAGACGGUAGCGAAGCGGCGACGUGGAGCCAAUCCGAGAAAGCUGGUCGUAGUCCGGAUCGCAGUCUGCAACUCGACUGCGUGAAGUCGGAAUCGCUAGUAAUCGCGAAUCAGAAUGUCGCGGUGAAUACGUUCCCGGGCCUUGUACACACCGCCCGUCACACCAUGGGAGUUGAUUUCACCAGAAGUAGGUAGCUUAACCGAAAGGAGGGCGCUUACCACGGUGGGGUCAAUGACUGGGGUGAAGUCGUAACAAGGUAACCA